AAUCCUAGAAACAAAAGAAUAUUUGCACAAUGCACAUCUCAUAAUUUUUUAACAAGUCCAACACAUUAUCUCCUCCUGUGAGUGCCACAUAGGCAAAAUUGAGUUUGACAGUGGCUUAAUGUACAAUGUGCCACCUUGGAAGAUACAAAGAAGUAAGCAAUGUCAGGCAUCAGAGCAAUCCCAGGUUAAGCCACAACUUGAAGUCCAACCAAUAUUGCCUCUUCUUUCAAACCAAUGGAAUAUAUUGCUCUAGGAAGUACAAACAACAAGCAGAAGCUUCUCCAUAUAGAAAAAAAAAACGAAAUGCUACAAAGCAUCCGCCAGGUUAAGCCACAACUUGAAGUCCAACCAAUAUUGCCUCUUCUUUCAAACCAAUGGAAUAUAUUGCUCUAGGAAGUACAAACAACAAGCAGAAGCUUCUCCAUAUAGAAAAAAAAAACGAAAUGCUACAAAGCAUCCG
rnacentral:misc_RNA from 1 species